UCUUCUCUCUCUUAUCCCUUCUUCUCUCUCCUCUCUCCUCUCCCUCGUAGCCGACUUCUUCUUCUUCCUUCUUCUUUGUGCGAACCAGAAGCUGAAGAAGACAGAAGCAGCGAGCAUCACCGCCAGAUGAAGACAGCAGCCGCUCGUCCCGCCGCCGCACCGCCGCCCGCGCCCGUGCUCGCGUCGCUCGCCGCCGUGUGCCGCCAACCCGUCCCUCGCACCCAGGCGUCUCCCCGUGCGUCUCCAGCCGCUGCCCAGCCUCCGCCCAGCCCCUGUUCCGCCGACCAGCUCCAUCUCCGGCCACCGUUCGGACCGCCGGAGCUCCCCUUGCCCUCCGCCGGCUUCCCCUCGCCGCCCUAGCCGCCGGACGAGCUUCGUCCAACCAAGAACAGUGACUGGAAAAAUGGGUUUCCAGCACUGUUCAAGGCCGUUUUGGGCCGUUUCCCGGCCCCGAACCCGAGCGGUGCUUUGGAGUUUGUCGUUCCUCGCGUCGCCCCGUCGGAUUGAUCCGACUUGCGUGCGAUUUGUUGUCUCCUUCCCAGGUGAACAAUACUGGUGUUGGUGGAUCCAUUAUCGACGCUGAUGCUUUGAGAACUUCGGUGGAUCCAUCCAAAGUUUCGCCCUGCCAUUGCCAAUCCACGAAGACAUAUUCUUUUUCCCUUGCUCUGUCCGGAAUUUGCCAGUCCUUGCCACAUAAAUCGCAAUUUGCUGACUUUGGAAACAAUCAUCCGCACGCUAAGGAUGUGCUAAAGAUGUGAACGUGUCGGAUGAUGAUGACAAUAGUAAUGACAAUGUAGGUGGUGACAACAGUGGUCGCGAUGCAGAUGAUGUCAAUGCAGGUGGUGACUAUGAUGGUAGCAAUGCAAAUGAUUUUAUUGGACACCACAGUGAUGACAGACUUUUUACAACAGACGAUACUGGAACUUCAGCUCGUGAAAAUCACAAAUUGGAUAGAACUCCAAAUAGUAAGCGGAGAAGAAAGAGUAACCAAUCAAGUAUUAUUGAAACUUGCAGAGCCAUACAAGAUUUUUUGAAAGUUAGGUCAUCAAGUCAAUCUGGUGGUGGCUCUGCGAGCUCAUGGACUACACAACCACCUGUAGACUCUUUCUCCAUAUCUACUGUGGUCCAGAUUCUACUGAGUAUGCCCGAGAUAGAGCAAGAUGUUUACAAUAAAGCAGUGGAACAAACAUGCGUCGAUUGUGAAUGGAGGGAGGCUUUCAUUACAUCCACACCUGCAAGGAGGAUUGGCCUUCUUCAAUUCCUUUAGUAGAUGUUUGGAAAUAUAUUAUGAAUUACAUGGAGUUUCAUUAGACUGUAUAACUUAUAUUAUCUAUUAAUCUUUAGUUUAUUCAAAUAUAAUUAGUGUUGAGACUCUUGUACUUAUAUGUAAUGGCAUAUCUUAUUGAGAUUGUAUGACUUAUGUUAUUGAUUGUUA